rnacentral:rRNA from 1 species
UACGUAGGGUGCGAGCGUUGUUCGGAAUCACUGGGCGUAAAGGGCGCGUAGGCGGCCCGCACAAGUCUGCGGUGAAAACCCCCGGCUUAACCGGGGGCCGGCCGUGGAAACUGUCGGGCUAGAGGCCGGGAGAGGGCAGCGGAAUUCCCGGUGUAGCGGUGAAAUGCGUAGAGAUCGGGAGGAACACCGGCGGCGAAGGCGGCUGCCUGGACCGGCCCUGACGCUGAGGCGCGAAAGCGUGGGGAGCAAACAGG